GAAAUGCGAUAAGUAAUGUGAAUUGCAGAAUUCAGUGAAUCAUCGAAUCUUUGAACGCACAUUGCGCCCGCCAGUAUUCUGGCGGGCAUGCCUGUUCGAGCGUCAUUUCAACCAUCAAGCCCCCGGCUUGUGUUGGGGACCUGCGGCUGCCCGCAGGCCCUGAAAAACAGUGGCGGGCUCGCUGUCACACCGAGCGUAGUAGCAUACAUUCUCGCUCAGGGCGUGCUGCGGGUUCCGGCCGUUAAACGACCUUCAUAACCCAAGGUUGACCUCGGAUCAGGUAGGAAGAUCCGCUGAACUUAAGC
rnacentral:misc_RNA from 1 species